AGACGUCUACAUUAGAUACCCCUGUAGUCCCAGCCGUAAACUAUGCGCGUUAGGUGUAUCGGUGACCACGAGUCACCGAGGUGCCGAAGGGAAACCGUGAAACGUGCCGCCUGGGAAGUACGGCCGCAAGGCUGAAACUUAAAGGAAUUGGCGGGGGAGCACCACAACAGGUGGAGCCUGCGGUUUAAUUGGACUCAACGCCGGGAAGCUCACCGGAUAGGACAGCAGAAUGAUUGCCGGGCUGAAGACCCUGCAUGACUAGCUG
rnacentral:rRNA from 1 species